ACGGCCAUAAUAUCGCAUUGAAAACAUUGGUUCUCUUCUGAUCACUGUAAUUAAGUAAUAUCGGGUCUGGUCAGUACUUAGGAUGGGGACCUCUUGGAGAAACUGGGUGCUGUUUGUA